AGCGCGACCUUCGGGUUGAGCGGCGGACGGGUUAGUAACGCGUGGGAACGUGCCCAGAUCUAAGGAAUAGCCACUGGAAACGGUGAGUAAUACCUUAUACGCCCUUCGGGGGAAAGAUUUAUCGGAUUUGGAUCGGCCCGCGUUAGAUUAGGUAGUUGGUGGGGUAAUGGCCUACCAAGCCUACGAUCUAUAGCUGGUUUUAGAGGAUGAUCAGCAACACUGGGACUGAGACACGGCCCAGACUCCUACGGGAGGCAGCAGUGGGGAAUCUUAGACAAUGGGGGCAACCCUGAUCUAGCCAUGCCGCGUGAGUGAUGAAGGCCUUAGGGUCGUAAAGCUCUUUCGCCUGUGAUGAUAAUGACAGUAGCAGGUAAAGAAACCCCGGCUAACUCCGUGCCAGCAGCCGCGGUAAUACGGAGGGGGUUAGCGUUGUUCGGAAUUACUGGGCGUAAAGCGCGCGUAGGCGGAUUAGAAAGUUAGGGGUGAAAUCCCGGGGCUCAACCUCGGAACUGCCUCUAAAACUUCUAGUCUAGAGUUCGAGAGAGGUGAGUGGAAUUCCAAGUGUAGAGGUGAAAUUCGUAGAUAUUUGGAGGAACACCAGUGGCGAAGGCGGCUCACUGGCUCGAUACUGACGCUGAGG
rnacentral:rRNA from 1 species